rnacentral:rRNA from 1 species
UACGAAGGGGGCUAGCGUUGCUCGGAAUCACUGGGCGUAAAGCGCACGUAGGCGGAUUACUAAGUCAGGGGUGAAAUCCUGGAGCUCAACUCCAGAACUGCCUUUGAUACUGGCGAUCUUGAGUCCGGGAGAGGUGAGUGGAACUGCGAGUGUAGAGGUGAAAUUCGUAGAUAUUCGCAAGAACACCAGUGGCGAAGGCGGCUCACUGGCCCGGUACUGACGCUGAGGUGCGAAAGCGUGGGGAGCAAACAGG